UUGCAUCGCUUUUUGUGGGGCAUUUUGUGCUCUUGCUAGAAAUGUGCUACACAAGUGGCCAUUAUCACUACUGUUGGCAUUGUUGUUCCUACAUUUUCCAUCGUCGCUUUUGUCAUUUUUACACAAUUCACAUUUAUUCAUGAUUUGUAUUUCUUUUUUGUUGUUUUCAGACUUUGUAAACAGUUGGUUGGCUAUUUCUCGCACAGUUAGAAAAAAACAACCUCCCUGAUUGCAGCCCAGCAAGAGUUCAAUCUGCUGGAGCACUCGGUGAUUACAGUGUCCAACAAGAUGGGGCUCAAGGCAGAGGAUGAUUGGGAGGGUGCUGGAGCAGACCAUGGCUUUAUCUCAGGUUCCGUCUAAAGGCUGGGAAACACAGCACCUGGUCCCCACUUGGCAGUACACAGAAGUCCUUGAAUCAGUCAAAAACAGCCUGCAUCCCCUCCAGGAGUUUACAGGUGCCCUCUCUGGCAAAGCGUUGUAAGCAUGUCAUACCUGAAGCCCGUCCUGCAUCUCCUGAGAACAUCAAGUCUGGCUGGAAAUGAGAAGGCAACAGACCUUACCAAGGCAGUAAUGCCAAGAGCCCUUGACCGCAUGGAAGACCCAGCCACAGAGGAGCUUCUGGACAACACUUGAUCCCUUAAACCAAGAUUCAGGAUUAACUACAUAACUGCAGAGAAAUGGUAGAGGUGGCACAAAAAGUAGAAAAGGGCUCGUGUCAGCACCACAUGCGCCGUGCUUCAAAGUGCAGCAGAGGCAGAGCUGUCCACUGUGGAAAAAAUAAAGCAGUCCUGAGGCAGCUUCUUUAAGAACAGUGCUGUGCCCCCCUGCUUCAUUUGCUGUGCACUUGGAGGAUGCCGUGGAAGCUGAGCUGAACAGCUACACGAUGGCUCCAACCAUCAAUGGAUCUUUCAGCCAGGUGGAAUGUAUGCACUGUUAUUUUCCGACACUAACUGACUCACAAAUUCCUGUGCAUCCACAAGUUUGCUAUUCGUGAGUCUUUAGUGCUGGGGGGGAUUGUAGUCACACAUUGAUGUUCUUGUCUAAAACUAGAAAAGGUUCACAAAAUAUUUUGACCAAAAAAAACUGCAAUUAUUUUUGAGAAGAGGAAGAAGAGAAGUCAAGAAAAGCAUAAUUAUGUAGGGCUUCUAUUGAUUUAAGUUAUUUGAAGAUUUUUUUCUGCACUUCAUCCUAUUGUGACUGCCUUUGGCAAAAAAACAAAGUGAAAUGCCUAACAUAUAGAUUCCUGUUUGUGUUAUCAUAUUUAGUGGUUGCUUAUUUGCCAAGCAUUAUGUGGUUUCCAAUUUAUUGUAAGUUUAAUGCUACAUAACAGUAAAUAAUGUUUUAUUUUGUUUUUUUACUUAUAUUGACUAGAGAUUAUGCAACAUUUAUAUGCUGCUCCUGAACAAUAAGUAAGUGACUCACCGAUUUUGUGUCCCAGACACUGUUUACAUAGAGGUCUUAUUAUUUUCUAGAUGGAAUUUCUUUUAUUAUUAUUACGUUUCUUGACUUAACACAGUCACAGUUUUUGUGAUUCAUUUUUUAUGUUCAAUUGGUCUUUGUUCAGUGCCAGUUAAAGAAAAUUCAAAAAAUACAUUUUGAAAGCAGUUCAUAUCUUUAAGUUCUCAUAUUUGAAUUGGAGUACAGACCAGUACAUAUUUUGAUGGCUUAUCAUGUUGUAGUACUUCAUAAAGUGUUUUAAAUCUAGUGAAGCUUGACUUUAGUCAGCUUUUUUUUGUUUGUAAAAUCCUCUUUUUCUAGUUUAUUCAGACAAAACUCCAACAUUACCUAUAACUGAAUGUUAUACAUGUAUGUUGCAAAAUGUCUCUUCCGGCUGUUUUUAUUUCCUGCUGUCUGCAUUAAAUAUUUGUUAAAAAGUUA